rnacentral:rRNA from 1 species
CAUAGGUUAAUGAGGCGAACCGGGGGAACUGAAACAUCUAAGUACCCCGAGGAAAAGAAAUCAACCGAGAUUCCCCCAGUAGCGGCGAGCGAACGGGGAGCAGCCCAGAGCCUGAAUCAGUGUGUGUGUUAGUGGAAGCGUCUGGAAAGGCGCGCGAUACAGGGUGACAGCCCCGUACACAAAAAUGCACAUACUGUGAGCUCGAUGAGUAGGGCGGGACACGUGGUAUCCUGUCUGAAUAUGGGGGGACCAUCCUCCAAGGCUAAAUACUCCUGACUGACCGAUAGUGAACCAGUACCGUGAGGGAAAGGCGAAAAGAACCCCGGCGAGGGGAGUGAAAAAGAACCUGAAACCGUGUACGUACAAGCAGUGGGAGCACGCUUAGGCGUGUGACUGCGUACCUUUUGUAUAAUGGGUCAGCGACUUAUAUUCUGUAGCAAGGUUAACCGAAUAGGGGAGCCGAAGGGAAACCGAGUCUUAACUGGGCGUUAAGUUGCAGGGUAUAGACCCGAAACCCGGUGAUCUAGCCAUGGGCAGGUUGAAGGUUGGGUAACACUAACUGGAGGACCGAACCGACUAAUGUUGAAAAAUUAGCGGAUGACUUGUGGCUGGGGGUGAAAGGCCAAUCAAACCGGGAGAUAGCUGGUUCUCCCCGAAAGCUAUUUAGGUAGCGCCUCGUGAAUUCAUCUCCGGGGGUAGAGCACUGUUUCGGCAAGGGGGUCAUCCCGACUUACCAACCCGAUGCAAACUGCGAAUACCGGAGAAUGUUAUCACGGGAGACACACGGCGGGUGCUAACGUCCGUCGUGAAGAGGGAAACAACCCAGACCGCCAGCUAAGGUCCCAAAGUCAUGGUUAAGUGGGAAACGAUGUGGGAAGGCCCAGACAGCCAGGAUGUUGGCUUAGAAGCAGCCAUCAUUUAAAGAAAGCGUAAUAGCUCACUGGUCGAGUCGGCCUGCGCGGAAGAUGUAACGGGGCUAAACCAUGCACCGAAGCUGCGGCAGCGACGCUGAUGCGUUGUUGGGUAGGGGAGCGUUCUGUAAGCCUGUGAAGGUGUGCUGUGAGGCAUGCUGGAGGUAUCAGAAGUGCGAAUGCUGACAUAAGUAACGAUAAAGCGGGUGAAAAGCCCGCUCGCCGGAAGACCAAGGGUUCCUGUCCAACGUUAAUCGGGGCAGGGUGAGUCGACCCCUAAGGCGAGGCCGAAAGGCGUAGUCGAUGGGAAACAGGUUAAUAUUCCUGUACUUGGUGUUACUGCGAAGGGGGGACGGAGAAGGCUAUGUUGGCCGGGCGACGGUUGUCCCGGUUUAAGCGUGUAGGCUGGUUUUCCAGGCAAAUCCGGAAAACUAAGGCUGAGGCGUGAUGACGAGGCACUACGGUGCUGAAGCAACAAAUGCCCUGCUUCCAGGAAAAGCCUCUAAGCAUCAGGUAACAUCAAAUCGUACCCCAAACCGACACAGGUGGUCAGGUAGAGAAUACCAAGGCGCUUGAGAGAACUCGGGUGAAGGAACUAGGCAAAAUGGUGCCGUAACUUCGGGAGAAGGCACGCUGAUAUGUAGGUGAAGCGACUUGCUCGUGGAGCUGAAAUCAGUCGAAGAUACCAGCUGGCUGCAACUGUUUAUUAAAAACACAGCACUGUGCAAACACGAAAGUGGACGUAUACGGUGUGACGCCUGCCCGGUGCCGGAAGGUUAAUUGAUGGGGUCAGCGCAAGCGAAGCUCUUGAUCGAAGCCCCGGUAAACGGCGGCCGUAACUAUAACGGUCCUAAGGUAGCGAAAUUCCUUGUCGGGUAAGUUCCGACCUGCACGAAUGGCGUAAUGAUGGCCAGGCUGUCUCCACCCGAGACUCAGUGAAAUUGAACUCGCUGUGAAGAUGCAGUGUACCCGCGGCAAGACGGAAAGACCCCGUGAACCUUUACUAUAGCUUGACACUGAACAUUGAGCCUUGAUGUGUAGGAUAGGUGGGAGGCUUUGAAGUGUGGACGCCAGUCUGCAUGGAGCCGACCUUGAAAUACCACCCUUUAAUGUUUGAUGUUCUAACGUUGACCCGUGAUCCGGGUUGCGGACAGUGUCUGGUGGGUAGUUUGACUGGGGCGGUCUCCUCCUAAAGAGUAACGGAGGAGCACGAAGGUUGGCUAAUCCUGGUCGGACAUCAGGAGGUUAGUGCAAUGGCAUAAGCCAGCUUGACUGCGAGCGUGACGGCGCGAGCAGGUGCGAAAGCAGGUCAUAGUGAUCCGGUGGUUCUGAAUGGAAGGGCCAUCGCUCAACGGAUAAAAGGUACUCCGGGGAUAACAGGCUGAUACCGCCCAAGAGUUCAUAUCGACGGCGGUGUUUGGCACCUCGAUGUCGGCUCAUCACAUCCUGGGGCUGAAGUAGGUCCCAAGGGUAUGGCUGUUCGCCAUUUAAAGUGGUACGCGAGCUGGGUUUAGAACGUCGUGAGACAGUUCGGUCCCUAUCUGCCGUGGGCGCUGGAGAACUGAGGGGGGCUGCUCCUAGUACGAGAGGACCGGAGUGGACGCAUCACUGGUGUUCGGGUUGUCAUGCCAAUGGCACUGCCCGGUAGCUAAAUGCGGAAGAGAUAAGUGCUGAAAGCAUCUAAGCACGAAACUUGCCCCGAGAUGAGUUCUCCCUGACUCCUUGAGAGUCCUGAAGGAACGUUGAAGACGACGACGUUGAUAGGCCGGGUGUGUAAGCGCAGCGAUGCGUUGAGCUAACCGGUACUAAUGAACCGUGAG